UUUUACAAUGGAGAGUUUGAUCCUGGCUCAGGAUGAACGCUAGCUACAGGCUUAACACAUGCAAGUCGAGGGGAAACGAUAGAGAAAGCUUGCUUUUUCUAGGCGUCGACCGGCGCACGGGUGAGUAACGCGUAUCCAACCUGCCCAUCACUUGGGGAUAACCUUGCGAAAGUAAGACUAAUACCCAAUGAUAUCUCUAGAAGACAUCUGAAGGAGAUUAAAGAUUUAUCGGUGAUGGAUGGGGAUGCGUCUGAUUAGCUUGUUGGCGGGGUAACGGCCCACCAAGGCGACGAUCAGUAGGGGUUCUGAGAGGAAGGUCCCCCACAUUGGAACUGAGACACGGUCCAAACUCCUACGGGAGGCAGCAGUGAGGAAUAUUGGUCAAUGGACGAGAGUCUGAACCAGCCAAGUAGCGUGCAGGAA
rnacentral:rRNA from 1 species